AUCGUAUUUUUUUUCUUUCUACUGGUGAUUUCUUCCCCCUUGUCUUUUGGAGCUGAGGUUUUCUUAUGGCGCCCAAGAGGAAGGUUGCGAUUAGCGUAAGUUAACUUCAACUCACAUCUGCUUUGGAUUAAAUAGUGUGAGCUAUUUAUACCCUAACAAGGGUGAUAUUGACCUCUACACGGAAUCAACGCUGGAAUUCUUUAUCCAGCUACCCGAAGAUUCAGCGUCGGAAUCUCAACAUCUAUACUGUUCUUAUUUCAAUGGAUAUUUUUUUCUUUUCUUCCUUUUGAAGUUGUUUUGCUAUAGUGUAGUUGAGGUUGAAGGUUGUGGAUUCACUGUGGAUAACUAGUUUAAUGAAGUUCAGGUUUGUGGAUUCGUUAUGGAUAACUAGUGUAUAUCCAGUUCAGUGAUUGGAUAUAACUAGCUGGAUACUGUGGGUGUGGAUUGAUGGAUAUAUUUGACUUACGUUACUGAGUGCUUUGUGUUGUGCUCGAGGAAAGGUGGAGCUAGCUAUAGACUAGGAGCCGGUCGACGAUGGAUAUUUUGUGGAUACUUUAAAUCCACAAGGAUAAGCUAAGCGAAAGUUCCACCGCGACCCCCACGUAGCAGACAUUAAAGAUGGAGCACGAGGAAACAAACGGCACCCUGGACCUGAGCCUGAUCAACCCACCCCCUCCCCAGCCCAUCGGUGUGUACGGCUGGAGGAAGCGGUGCCUGUACGCCUUCGUGCUGGCACUGAUGGUCAUCGUCAUCAUGAACCUGGCACUGACCGUCUGGAUCCUCCGGGUGCUGGACUUUUCUUUUGACGGUAUGGGACAUCUCAGGAUCGUGCCCAAAGGAUUUCAGCUGAUAGGUGAAGCAGAGUUUCUCAACCUGUUUACGUCGACAAUUAAAGUCGAAUCAGGGGAAGAAACUGUUUAUUGAGUCAAGCAAAGCGAUCGAGUUGCUUACGUUAGAUAAGAAUCAAGAAUUUGGAAGUAGACUUGUUGUAGACGAGGACAACAUCACGAUGACCUGUGACACCCUGCACGUUGUAGACUCAAAGGGAAACACUAAUCUUUUGCUGUCAAAGGACAAGGUCGUUUUAGGAUCAGGGGACGUAAUGUUUCCAGGUGAAAUCCGGUUACAAGGAUCAUUGUUGACACCAACAGUAUUGAGUCCAUCAGAUUCAUUGCUACAGAUUUCAUCCGAGUCGAUGGUCAAUGUGUUUGGACAGGAAGGGAUAACCUGACCUCAGGUCAGGGUAACCUCACAGUGGAUGCCAGUGACAUUUAUUUAUCAUCCGGCAACGGAUCUAUUCACCUUAAUGGCCAGAAUAUAUUCUCAACAAUAUCCCGACAGUGAACAUAACAAACAGAGCCGACAAAAAAACCAAGUGCUAGUACGCCAGCCGUG